UACAAAAUAGAUAACCAAAGAGGACCUAUUGUAGGGCACAGAGAACUAUAUUCAAUAUCUUAUAAUAACCUUCAAUGGAAAAGAAUUAAAAUUAUAUAUAUAUAUAUAUAACUAAAUCAUUUUGCUGUACACUCAAAACUAAAACAUUGUAUAUCUAAUAUAUUUCAAUAAAAAUUUCAAAAAUAAAACCACUCUGAACUUUCAGAAUUAUUAAAAAAAAAAAAAAAGAAGAAAUCUUAUACAACCCCUUAACUGAUACUAAAAUUUCUCCUCCAGAUCUGUAUAGGAUUGACCCGGACACCCUCCCCUCCCCCACACAGAUGCUCAAGUGCCUUACAUAAAAUGACAGUAAAGACAUUCCCACAAAUACGGAGGGCUGGCUGUAUAUUUAGCUUCCCAGAUUGACACUUUCUAGCUUUUAUUUUCCAUCUGAUUUAAAAUGCUUCUCAUGUUUGGUCUUUCCUCAUUGUUCCUUGUUAGCACUACUGACUUUGAAGCUAGGCUCCAAUCCCUAAUUGACCACAACUCCAAGAUCCGCUGUAGAACUAAAGAUGUAACAGCUCAGGUCAGGAGCACAGGCUUUGGUAUCAGUGUCUGGAAUUACAAAGUCAAAGAAGUGUGACCUUGAACAAAUUACCAUAGCCCUCUGAGCCUUAGCUAACACGACAGGACAAUAGAUAUAAUACCUACUUCAUUUUUGGUCACCACCCCCUCCCCUCAACCACUGCCCUGCAAGGGUGUGGGGCUGAGGAUGGAGUUCUUUUUCAGAUUUAACCUUCUAGUCAUCUGCCCUUUAAUCCUCUCCUUUGCUUGUUUAUCCAAAUUUUACGUCCCUUGGCUGAAGACAGAAAUUCACAUGUUGGCUGAAUUUUCCCUUCUAUGCUAUGCCUUAGAGUAGAAAAAUCUCUUAAAAUAAGAAGCUUCAUUCUCGUGUGUGUGUGUGUGUGUGUGUGUGUGUGUAUGGGUCGGUAGUGUCUUACUCUUUGCAUGGUGCCACGUUUUAAUAAGGAGGGGCUAUAGAGGCAGGAGAAAGAAUCAUGGAGAACGGAAAAUGCUAUGUUUCAAAAUGUUACCCCCUAGAGGGCCUGUUAUCAUCAGCAUGUGGCCUUCUGCUGGGGUCCAGGGAUCAGAGCAUGUUCAAGCCAUUUCCUCCCUCCCUCUCUCCCUUUCUUUCUUCCUUUCUCCCUCCAUCCCCUCUUUUCUUCUUCUUUUUUUUAAUCAGUUAUUUUAUUGUGAUCUUUGUUAGAACCUGUCAGAAUAGGUGAGUACAUUGUGGAAUUUGCAAUUAAGCCCAGCAUUAUAAGAAAUACCUCUUUGUCAGCAAAACCUCCCUGUGUUUCGGGAGAGAACUUUGAAAGAUUUCCAAGGGAAGUGAAGCAGUUUUGACUGACAUUUCAAAUAACAGUUCGCAUCUCUAACCUCUGACCUGUCCCAAUUUGUUUUGUAAUUAAAAAAAGUCACAGAGUGCAAAGCAAGAGUUCAGAACUAAGAAAAGCAAUACACUGCUCAGUUGGGCAAAGAGAAAGUUCUAAGAAACCCGAGAAACCUCAUUUAAAACAACCACAACCUCAAAAAAAUCUGCAUGUUAUUCAAAGCCAGAAUUUGACUCACCUGGCCCUUUGAGAAAGGAGCUCCAAUGACCCCGAUGGACUGUGGCUUGGAACUCAUGCUCCAACACUGCUCACCUCGGCACCUGAGGUCUCCAGGUAGUCGUCACUCUCUGCAACUCUCAAUGGCGGAGGGCACAUAUUUUUUUCUAUUUAUAAUUGAGUUGAAUCUGUUUACUCUAAUGAGGAAGAGUGGCUCCACCUACUGAACCAAAGCAACAGUCAAGUGAAGUCCAGCACAUUCAUACUCGGAAUAACUUUGAGUCCUCCUGAGUCUAGGUCUCUAAUUAAUUGAGGUCAUUCAUGGAGCCAGUUCACACCCAGUUCACAAAGACACCUGGUAACAUUAAUGUUUCCUAAUCACAACCAUGAUUUCUUAAUCACAGUCAUCUUUUCUGAUCAUAAUUAAUUAUAACCACAGAAGAAGUGCCAUAGUUCUAGCUGUGCAAACUCAGAGCAUGGUACUUACCUCUUUCAGGUCUUUGCAUCUGCCUGUGUCAAAAACCGGGGACUGGCAAGAUGGUGUCUCACAUCUUUUCCAGCCCGACAACCCUGAAUUCAGUUUUCACUCUAGGAUUAAUGGUUAAUCUACAAGACACACCUCACACACUACCAGGAAUUUCACUAAGCUGUCAAAGAAGUAGACUGGUCACUGCCAAGGGCAAGAAAAAAAAGGUAGCUCCCCCUGAACAAGGGUGAAGAAGAGCCUGUUAAUUACCAGGAACAGAGUGUCCUCCUGUGUAACUGAUCCCAGAGCCUGGAUGUGAGGUCUGCUGUUUCUUCAAAACUUUAAAGAAUUGGAAAAUUAGUUCCCUAUGCUUUUGAUCCCUGUCAGAAAAUUUCAACAGGUGAGUUAAGAAGCCUGAAUGAAUCAGAGAAUGUUAACUUAUGGACUGUAUUCUGGUGCUCCAAAUAGGUGGAAUAAUCCCCAGACUCACAAAGGUCAUAGAUGAUCCCUAAAGAUAUACUGGUAUGAGCUACUUUUCCUUACAAUCUUCUCAGUCCAUAAUUCUUCCAUUUGGAAAUGCAUUUGUCCUCUCCCUGGAACAACAAGGGGAAAAGAGAGUCCCAGACAUAGUUAGUAGCCUAAUUCUUCCUUUGUCUGUCACCACUUCUCUCAACAUACACACACACACACAAUCACACACAUCAUUUUUAGUUAGCCCUUAUGGGAGACAGAAAUUGCUCCAGAAAUGAGCUGGGGUGGGGCCAAGGCUUCCAUCACCAGAUCUGAGGCUGAGCAGGGACUAAGAGUGGGCUUUUCUGCAAAGGAACAAAUGAGUCGAUCUGAAGAGGGGUUAGGUGGCCUGACUCUUCCAGGGCCCCCCUCCUGAGCUGCAGCGGACCCACACUGCCAAAAAGCAGGUGGACAAAGAGAUCAAGAUCAGAGAGAGCACCAGCUGAGAUGGUCUGAUGGAGAAAAAAAGAGGUGGGGACUGGCCAAGCCUAUGUGGGCAACAUGGACAUUUAUGUAACACGUCACGGUUGAUGAGUGUUUUUCAUCUUCACUGUGCCUUUUUUUUUUAAGCCACUGAAUUACAUAAGAGGCAGAUAAUGUUAUUAUUCCCAGAUAAUAGAAGUAUCCCGGUUUACUUUCAUGAAUGCAGAAAUUGAGGUUUGCCCAAAAUCACAAUUUUAGUAUGGGCAGAGAUAUAACUCAAACCUAUAUCAGUUCAUGACUCUUAAACUUGUGUUGUUUGGACCUACCCCCAGUAAACCUACUAGGUCAGCUGUGAAUCAAAACACAAUGCAGUAAUUCAAGUCUUCCAAUAUGAAGUUUGCCAUGGAGGUGGAUGCAGUGACCAUGAAGACUAAAGACCAAAGGGCCCUUCACAUAAGACCUGGCCUGACUAAGACACUUUAGACCUUUCAAUAACCCUGGUGAAACUCGGGGAGGAGAAUCUGGUAACGAAUGAGAUUGAAUUUCCCAUCAUUACAGCAGGAUGGAGGAAGGUCAUGGAAACAUCGUCCGUGGGAAGUAUGGCAGAGCACUGGUCUCAGGGGCAAGAGGGAACCAUUACCAGGUGUCCUGCAGAAGGCAAGUCUGACACGCAAUCCUCUCGGGAACUUCAUAUGCCCCUUUUUGCUCCAUGAGCUGGGAGGCCACUUGUUGGACCAUCACAGUCUGCACACAGUGCUGCACUUCCAUCGUGCUGAGCUUUCUGGAUAGCUUUAUACAAAGACAGUGUGGGCAGCCAUUCUGCUGUGUGAUUUGAGACACAUUAGGCCAGAACCUUGCCAAAAAAAAAAUCCACCCUCACCAA